rnacentral:tRNA from 1 species
AAUGAGUUGGCAGAGUUAUGCGCUUGACUUAGGAUCAAUCUACGGGUUAGCCCACUCAUUA